UCAUACGUGAGUGGGAUUUUACUUAUCUCUGGUCUGUACAGACUAGGAAUUUCUCUCAAAUGUCUCAAACGACAAUUUAUGGGUCAUCAGGUCGCUACAGGUCAUGACCGACAACUUUUUGGUCAUCAGGUGACGAUCUAGGGGUCAGAGGUCGAUAAUUCCCGCCAAACCGUUCCUAUCACUGGGAUUGGAAGAUGCAAUCAUGUUCUUGGAUAUCAGAUCCAGACGAUCGUCCCACAAAAGCAAUAGAGAAUGGAGACGAAGAAACCCUGUGAAGAAACAGAAGAUUGUUGUACACUACUGACGACCACUUGGCGUUGUACUCAACACAAGUUGCACUCUUUAUUUAGCUUGAUGGAAAGUCAAUUUGGUUACUUCUUGUAGUCACCAGGGCUGGGGUACAAACUUAACCACGUUUGGGAUUGGUUUCUCGCCACAAAAGCGCCACCUACAUCGGCUACAUAUACAAUGAAGUUGCAAGAAGCAGAACUCCAGUCAGAAGCUCUAAUGAAGGUAUCGAAGAGACAUCGAAACGUAAGAAAAGGCCCGGUCGGGGUUACACCACCUAGCUACCGGCGCCGGUGCAAAUGUACAUAAGUGGGGUCUUGAACGGAGGCUACAUGAGAAGAUGGGAUCUACGUACCCAGUGUCCUCCAUUGUAGCUCGUACCACCACCCAGGGGACGACAAACGUCAGAGGAAACACUACAAAGACGAUACGAAAGAGGAAAAAGACUUACUGAGAACCAACUGACGCAGGAUGUCGCAACUUCUUCACCAGAACCCGGAUGAUGUUGACGAACAGCAGGAAGUUGAUCUACAAAAGAACAAAAAAGAUGUAAUUUGAUGUAAGUCCAUAUCUUGGCCAGUAUCUCUAUAC